GACCGUGUUUCCUAACGGAUAAGGCGUCGGACUUCGGAUCCGAAGAUUGCAGGUUCGAGUCCUGCCAUGGUCG
rnacentral:tRNA from 1 species